rnacentral:lncRNA from 1 species
UUCCUUUUCCUCUUAUAUAUCUUUUUUUGGGGGGUAGAAUUACUGUCUUCUUAUAAACCUUUUAAAUCUUUGAGUGAUCAUUGCCAUCUCAUCAUCAUUUUUCAAAUUAUUAGAUGAAUCACUUUCUAGCUCUUCCAUGACAAAUGAUUUUGGUGCAAUGAUUUUUCUUUCUUUCUAUAUUCUGGUUCAUGCUCAACUCAUAUCAUAAGU